rnacentral:rRNA from 1 species
GACAGAGGGUGCAAACGUUGUUCGGAUUUACUGGGCGUAAAGCGUGUGUAGGCGGCUUGGCAAGUUGGAUGUGAAAUCCCUCGCUCAACCGAGGAACUGCGCCGAAUACUGCUGUGCUAGAGGAAGAUAGGGGUAAGCGGAACUGAUGGUGGAGCGGUGAAAUGCGUUGAUAUCAUCAGGAACACCGGUGGCGAAGGCGGCUUACUGGAUCUUUUCUGACGCUGAUGCACGAAAGCUAGGGGAGCGAACGGG